UACGAAGGGGGCUAGCGUUGCUCGGAAUUACUGGGCGUAAAGGGAGCGUAGGCGGACAGUUUAGUCAGAGGUGAAAGCCCAGGGCUCAACCCUGGAAUUGCCUUUGAUACUGACUGUCUUGAGUGUGGGAGAGGUGUGUGGAACUCCGAGUGUAGAGGUGAAAUUCGUAGAUAUUCGGAAGAACACCAGUGGCGAAGGCGACACACUGGCCCAUUACUGACGCUGAGGCACGAAAGCGUGGGGAGCAAACAGG
rnacentral:rRNA from 1 species